AAAGGGGUUACGGAAGUGAUGGUUUUCACCAUUGCAGAGAAAUUCAUACACAGGUGUUGAAGAAAUUCUCUAUAAUUUCAGGUCCAGGUGCAGGUACAGAUUCGACGAUCUCCGGAUACUAAUUCCCGUGGUUCCUUCUUUGCUAGCAUCAUUGAUGAUUUGAGGUAGCUGUUACUGGCUUUAGAGACUACUGGAACCUCCUUUAUCCUUAUCCUUAUCCAUUUUCCGCAUUUUGAAAGACUUAAACUUUCUUUUGGUUCUGUAUUUAGUGACUUGUAUUAGUGACUUCCAGACCUGGGAUUAUCUAUGAUUUGAUUUAACAAGUCUA